rnacentral:lncRNA from 1 species
CUACCUCCGUAACGGCACGUCCGAGGCCCGUAACACCGAGAAUGGAGGGCAAGGCCGUAUAGGCUCGUACGAAGUUAAGGAAUGCCUAGAAAACAAGAGCCAAGGUGAAGAAGAAGAAGGAUAACCAGAGACAACUACGUGGCCUCUCAUUCCUUCGAAUAAGGUAAGUUCGGUUUUCAUUGUUUCCAUUUUCUCUUAAGUGUUUUGCAGGGCCUAUCAACCGAAAAUUUUCGUUUUAUUUCAUUGAGUCUAAGUCCUAGAGAGUUGAACCUAAGCCUCCGACUUGUGGAGAGGGUUCACUUGUGCGAAUGACACAAGUUUCCUUUUUGGUUGUUUUUCUUUACUUUAUUUUGUAACCGUUAGUUUAUUUGAGAUAGAAUCUCGACGCUCGAAGGUCAUGGCUGAAGGACUAUUAAUAAAGUCCCAUUCGCAGCCUUGUAGUCACGUUUUUAACCUAGAUCAAUAAAGUUGCAUUUUCUUCUCUUGCGCCGUUUGCGAGUUGAGA